GUUGUCCGGAUUUAUUGGGCGUAAAGCGAGCGCAGGCGGUGAUUUAAGUCUGAUGUGAAAGCCCCCAGCUCAACUGGGGAGGGUCAUUGGAAACUGGAUCACUUGAGUGCAGAAGAGGAGAGUGGAAUUCCAUGUGUAGCGGUGAAAUGCGUAGAUAUAUGGAGGAACACCAGUGGCGAAGGCGGCUCUCUGGUCUGUAACUGACGCUGAGGCUCGAAAGCGUGGGUAGCAAACAGGAUUAGAUACCCUGGUAGUCCACGCCGUAAACGAUGAGUGCUAAGUGUUGGAGGGUUUCCGCCCUUCAGUGCUGCAGUUAACGCAUUAAGCACUCCGCCUGGGGAGUACGACCGCAAGGUUGAAACUCAAAGGAAUUGACGGGGGCCCGCACAAGCGGUGGAGCAUGUGGUUUAAUUCGAAGCAACGCGAAGAACCUUACCAGGUCUUGACAUCCUUUGACCGCCCUAGAGAUAGGGUUUCCCCUUCGGGGGCAAAGUGACAGGUGGUGCAUGGUUGUCGUCAGCUCGUGUCGUGAGAUGUUGGGUUAAGUCCCGUAACGAGCGCAACCCUUAUUGUUAGUUGCCAGCAUUGAGUUGGGCACUCUAGCAAGACUGCCGGUGACAAACCGGAGGAAGGCGGGGAUGACGUCAAAUCAUCAUGCCCCUUAUGACCUGGGCUACACACGUGCUACAAUGGGAAGUACAACGAGCAAGCCAAGCCGCAAGGCCUAGCGAAUCUCUGAAAGCUUCUCUCAGUUCGGAUUGCAGGCUGCAACUCGCCUGCAUGAAGCCGGAAUCGCUAGUAAUCGCGGAUCAGCAUGCCGCGGUGAAUCCGUUCCCGGGCCUUGUACACACCGCCCGUCACACCACGAGAGUUUGUAACACCCAAAGUCGGUGCGGCAACCCUUAGGGGAGCCAGCCGCCUAAGGUGGGACGAAUGAUUGGGGUGAA
rnacentral:rRNA from 1 species